UGAGCUAUGAGGAUAAAAAUCCAACCCGAUAAACCUUGACGACUGUAAUACGCUAUUCUGAGCCAUGG